CAUCUAGCAACCAGCAAACCCAA
rnacentral:siRNA from 1 species